rnacentral:rRNA from 1 species
UACGUAGGCAGCAAGCGUUGUUCGGAGUUACUGGGCGUAAAGAGUGUGUAGGCGGUCCUCUAAGUUCGGUGUGAAAUCUCCCGGCUCAACUGGGAGGGUGCGCCGGAAACUGGAGGGCUUGAGUAUGGGAGAGGAAAGCGGAAUUCCUGGUGUAGCGGUGAAAUGCGUAGAUAUCAGGAGGAACACCUGUGGUGUAGACGGCUCUCUGGACAGUCACUGACGCUGAGACACGAAAGCGUGGGUAGCAAACAGG